UAACACGUAUGCAACCUGCCCUCUUCAGGGNGACAACCUUCCGAAAGGGAGGCUAAUCCCGCGUAUAUCGGUUUCGGGCAUCCGAGAUCGAGGAAAGAUUCAUCGGAAGAGGAUGGGCAUGCGGCGCAUUAGCUUGACGGCGGGGUAACGGCCCACCGUGGCGACGAUGCGUAGGGGUUCUGAGAGGAAGGUCCCCCACACUGGUACUGAGACACGGACCAGACUCCUACGGGAGGCAGCAGUGAGGAAUAUUGGUCAAUGGGAGAGAUCCUGAACCAGCCAAGCCGCGAGAGGGAAGACGGCCCUAUGGGUUGUAAACCUCUUUUGUCGGAGAACAAAACCCGGGACGUGUCCCGGACUGCGUGUAUCCGAAGAAAAAGCAUCGGCUAACUCCGUGCCAGCAGCCGCGGUAAUACGGAGGAUGCGAGCGUUAUCCGGAUUUAUUGGGUUUAAAGGGUGCGUAGGCGGUCCGUUAAGUCAGCGGUAAAAUUGCGGGGCUCAACCCCGUCGAGCCGUUGAAACUGGCAGACUUGAGUUGGCGAGAAGUACGCGGAAUGCGCGGUGUAGCGGUGAAAUGCAUAGAUAUCGCGCAGGACUCCGAUUGCGAAGGCAGCGUACCGGCGCCACACUGACGCUGAGGCACGAAAGCGUGGGGAUCGAACAGGAUUAGAUACCCUGGUAGUCCACGCAGUAAACGAUGAAUGCUGGUUGU
rnacentral:rRNA from 1 species